ACAGGGCAAAAGGACUUUUAGGAAAAGUCACAAAAAGCUAGGAAUUCCUGACUUUUCCAAAAAGUCAGUUUUUCUUAUAUCAAAUUCCCAAAAGUUGCUUUUAAAAUACUUUUAGCAAACAUCUUUUCCCCCUAUCUUUUUCUAAAAGUUCUUUUUGUCCCUCAAAAAGAUAGGCCAAACACCCCCUUCGUCGGUCGAUUCGCAAGCCGAGAUUGUCUCCGGGGUCGAUGAUACCAAAGCAACAAAGACGUGAAGAAGCAGCGAAGUUUCGCUCAUUCCCAUUCGGCUAUGAGGUGCGAAGGAAGGAGGUCUGAUAGGGAGUCCGGGCGUCGCAAGCAGCGGUAGCACCAAAGACGAACCUUCGGAGCUCUAUGGUCGAUGGCAACAACAGAGAAAGAAAACGAGGGGAAAGGGGGUCUCCGGUGAGGUGUCGCGAGCAGCAGCAGUGACGAAGACGAGGUCUUCGCUGGGGUUUGCUCGACGGAAGAAGAAGGGGAGGGUGUGAGGGGUGGGUCGUCGGUCUCAGUGGGUGUUGCGAUGAGGCCAUUUGCGAUCGGUGGUUGAAAAGGGAGGCACCUUCGGUGCUUCGCUGGACCGAAGAGGGAAAAAAAUGGAAGCAGCAGGGGUGGGGCUGCUGCUUCGAUUGGUAGCAGGGAAUCGAUGGGUGUUUGGGUUGGGGCUUGGUCAUCGAAACAGGAAGGGACAAAGGUGGAUACUAAUGUUUCUGGUCCAAUGGCGAAAAAAAGAAGGUAGCAGGGGGUGUUUCUCGUAGCGAUCGAUGAAGGAAUAAGGCAGCAGCAAAAACGAUUCUUAGGGGUUUUUGGAGGGUUCGAUUGACAGCAAGGGAGCUGUGGUUUUACUGUCUUCACCGAGGGAAAGAUGGGUGAAGGGAGCUCUUUUAUUUCACAUUUAACUUGUAAUUGUAUAUAUAAAAUUUGAUCCCUCAGAUUUGAUUUUAUUUUAACGUGA